GACGAACGCUGGCGGCGCGCUUAACACAUGCAAGUCGAACGGAAAGGCCUGCUUUCCCUUGUGGAUUGCGGGUACUCGAGUGGCGAACGGGUGAGUAACACGUGAGUGAUCUGCCCCCAACUUGGGUAUAAGCCUGGGAAACUGGGUCUAAUUCCCGAUAGGACUGCAGGGUGGUGCCUGUGGUGGAAAACGAUUUUCUAGUGGUUGGGGAUGAGCUCGCGGCCUAUCAGCUUGUUGGUGGGGUAAUGGCCUACCAAGGCGGCGACGGGUAGCCGGCCUGAGAGGGUGGACGGCCACAUUGGGACUGCGAUACGGCCCAGACUCCUACGGGAGGCAGCAGUGGGGAAUAUUGCACGAUGGGCGGAAGCCUGAUGCAGCGACGCCGCGUGGGGGAUGACGGCCUUCGGGUUGUAAACUCCUUUCGACCGCGAGGAAGCCACCUGGUUGGAAGGGUGGUGACGGUAGUGGUAGAAGAAGCACCGGCUAACUACGUG
rnacentral:rRNA from 1 species